UAAUGCCUGAACACUCCCAAGGCACCAGAUCUCCUCUGAUCUUGGAAGCUAAGCAUGGUAAGCCCUGGCUAGUACUAGGAUGGGAGACUAUCAAGAAAUACCAGGCUAUAUUUC
rnacentral:rRNA from 1 species